rnacentral:rRNA from 1 species
AUGGCUCAGGAUGAACGCUAGCUACAGGCUUAACACAUGCAAGUCGAGGGGCAGCAUGAAUCAAGCUUGCUUGAUUUGAUGGCGACCGGCGCACGGGUGCGUAAACGCGUAUCCAAUCUACCCUAUUCUCAGGGAUAGCCUUGCGAAAGUAAGAUUAAUACCUGAUGGUCUGGUUUCACGGCAUCGUGAAACCAGUAAAGAUUUAUCGGAAUGGGAUGGGGAUGCGUCCGAUUAGCUUGACGGCGGGGUAACGGCCCACCGUGGCGACGAUCGGUAGGGGUUCUGAGAGGAAGGUCCCCCACACUGGAACUGAGACACGGCCCAGACUCCUACGGGAGGCAGCAGUGAGGAAUAUUGGUCAAUGGCCGUAAGGCUGAACCAGCCAAGUAAGCGUGAGGGAUGACGGCCCUACGGGUUGUAAACCUCUUUUGUUCGGGAAUAAAGUCAGGUACGUGUACCUGUUUGUAUGUACCUUACGAAUAAGCAUCGGCUAAUUCCGUGCCAGCAGCAGC